rnacentral:rRNA from 1 species
GACGAACGCUGGCGGCGUGCUUAACACAUGCAAGUCGAGCGAGCGGCGGACGGGUGAGUAACACGUAAGGAACCUACCGAUAAGCGGGGGAAAACAUACGGGAACGGGUGCUAAUACCGCAAACUUAUCGAUGGACUUGCUGUGCAUUAGCUCGUUGGUGGGGUAACGGCCUACCAAGGCAAUGAUGCAUAGCCGACCUGAGAGGGGAAUCGGCCACAGUGGGACUGAGACACGGCCCAACCGCCUACGGGAGGCAGCAGUAGGGAAGAUUCCACAAUGGGCGCAAGCCUGACGGAGCAACGCCGCGUGAGUGAAGAAGGUUUUCGGAUCGUAAAGCUCUGUUUUAAGAGAAGCGGUAUCUUACCAGAAAGCCACGGCUAACUACGUGCCAGCAGCCGCGGUAAUAC